AGCCCUAAGUGGGUGGUAAACUCCAUCUAAGGCUAAAUAUGACCACGAGACCGAUAGCGAACAAGUACCGUGAGGGAAAGUUGAAAAGCACUUUGAAGAGAGAGUUCAAGAGUACGUGAAACCGUUUAGGGGUAAACCUGAGAAACCCGAAAGGUCGAAGGAAGAAAUUCAUUCGCGUUUCGUUGCAGGCGUCGAGCGGGAUCGUGUGACGGGUAACGUUCGCGUUACUCGCGCCUCCCGUUCUUCGAACCGGCGACGAACGCGUGCACUUUUCUUCUGGUAGGACGUCGCGAUCCGUUGGGUGUCGGUCUACGGCUCGCGGUGGAGCCCGUUCGUCGUAUUUAUCGUACGUACGGACGGACCCGCGUGUCCCGGCUGCCUCGCCCGACGGUAUACGAAAGGUUUAAGGCCGCUCUCGGAGCGUCCGGCUCGCGGCAAGCGCGCCAGAUGCGUCGGCGAUCGGACCUAGUGCCGAUUCUGACCUCUGGUGACUGUUGGCCGCGAAGAUCUCGGACAGACCUUAAGACCGAUCUGCGACGCUAUAGCUUUGGGUACUUUCAG
rnacentral:rRNA from 1 species